rnacentral:rRNA from 1 species
CAUAACCUGGUUGAUCCUGCCAGUUUGUCUCAAAGAUUAAGCCAUGCAUGUCUAAGUCUAAGCUUUUGUACGGCGAAACUGCGAAUGGCUCAUUAAAACAGUUACAGUUUAUUUGGUGAUCGCUCACUACAUGGAUACCCGUGGUAAUUCUAGAGCUAAUACAUGCGUCAAGACCCGACUUCUCGGAAGGGUUGU